rnacentral:rRNA from 1 species
UGGCUCAAGACGAACGCUGGCGGCGUGCCUAAUACAUGCAAGUAGAACGCUGAAAAGAGGAGCUUGCUCUUUCUUGGAUGAGUUUGCGAACGGGUGAGUAACGCGUAGGUAACCUGCCUUUGUAGCGGGGGAUAACUAUUGGAAACGAUAGCUAAUACCGCAUAACAAUGGAUGACACAUGUCAUUUAUUUGAAAGGGGCAAUUGCUCCACUACAAGAUGGACCUGCGUUGUAUUAGCUAGUAGGUGAGGUAACGGCUCACCUANGCGACGAUACAUAGCCGACCUGAGAGGGUGAUCGGCCACACUGGGACUGAGACACGGCCCAGACUCCUACCGGAGGCAGCAGUANGGAAUCUUCCGCAAUGGGGGCCACCCUGACCGAACACGCCGCGUGAGUGAAGAAGGUUUUCGAUCCUAAGCUCUGUUGUAGUCUAAACGAGUGUGAGAAUGGAAAGUUACACUGUGACAGUACUUAACCAAAGGGACAGCUCACUACGUGCCGCCCCGCGGUAUACGUAUGUCCCGAGCGUUUCCCGAUUUUUUGGCGUUAACGAGCGCAGGCGGUUGAUAAGUCUGAAGUUAAAGGCUGUGGCUCAACCAUAGUUCGCUUUGGAAACUGUCAAACUUGAGUGCAGAAGGGGAGAGUGGAACUCCAUGUGUAGCGGUGAAAUGCGUAGAUAUAUGGAGGAACACCGGUGGCGAAAGCGGCUCUCUGGUCUGUAACUGACGCUGAGGCUCGAAAGCGUGGGGAGCGAACAGGAUUAGAUACCCUGGUAGUCCACGCCGUAAACGAUGAGUGCUAGGUGUUGGAUCCUUUCCGGGAUUCAGUGCCGCAGCUAACGCAUUAAGCACUCCGCCUGGGGAGUACGACCGCAAGGUUGAAACUCAAAGGAAUUGACGGGGGCCCGCACAAGCGGUGGAGCAUGUGGUUUAAUUCGAAGCAACGCGAAGAACCUUACCAGGUCUUGACAUCCCGAUGCUAUUUCUAGAGAUAGAAAGUUACUUCGGUACAUCGGUGACAGGUGGUGCAUGGUUGUCGUCAGCUCGUGUCGUGAGAUGUUGGGUUAAGUCCCGCAACGAGCGCAACCCCUAUUGUUAGUUGCCAUCAUUCAGUUGGGCACUCUAGCGAGACUGCCGGUAAUAAACCGGAGGAAGGUGGGGAUGACGUCAAAUCAUCAUGCCCCUUAUGACCUGGGCUACACACGUGCUACAAUGGUUGGUACAACGAGUUGCGAGUCGGUGACGGCAAGCUAAUCUCUUAAAGCCAAUCUCAGUUCGGAUUGUAGGCUGCAACUCGCCUACAUGAAGUCGGAAUCGCUAGUAAUCGCGGAUCAGCACGCCGCGGUGAAUACGUUCCCGGGCCUUGUACACACCGCCCGUC